rnacentral:tRNA from 1 species
ACCCGUAUAAUUUAGGGUAGAAUACUACAUUGAAGCUGUAGAAGGGAUAAUUAUCUACGGGUA